rnacentral:rRNA from 1 species
CCUACGGGCGGCUGCAGUGAGGAAUAUUGGUCAAUGGACGAGAGUCUGAACCAGCCAAGUAGCGUGAAGGAUGACUGCCCUAUGGGUUGUAAACUUCUUUUAUAUGGGAAUAACAUGUUCCACGUGUGGGAUUUUGUAUGUACCAUAUGAAUAAGGAUCGGCUAACUCCGUGCCAGCAGCCGCAGUAAUACGGAGGAUCCGAGCUUUAGCCGGAUUUAGUGGAUUUAAGGGGGGCGUAGGUGGUGUUGUAAGGAAGUUGUGAAAGUUUGGGGCUCAACCGUAAAAUUGCAGUUGAAACUGGCAGUCUUGAGUACGGGAGAGGUGGGCGGAAUUCGGGGUGUAGCGGUGAAAUGCUUAGAUAUCACGAAGAACUCCGAUUGCGAAGGCAGCUCACUGGACUCCAACUGACACUGAGGCUCGAAAGUGUGGGUAUCGAACAGGAUUAGAUACCCGAGUAGUC